rnacentral:tRNA from 2 species
CGGCGUGUAGCGCAGCCUGGUAGCGCACUACAAUGGGGUUGUAGGGGUCGGAGGUUCGAAUCCUCUCACGCCGACCA